rnacentral:pre_miRNA from 1 species
CUACUUCACCGUCCCGCACUGGCGAGCGAAUUUUGAUCGCAUAUCUCCCCACGAUUCGCACGCCAGGCGGGGGGGGGGGGGG